AACGGCGGUAUUGUAAACACGUUACAUUACAUUCUGCCUUCUAAUCUUCUCCCCCUGUCCGUGCGUUUCACUUCAACCCGUCCCCUUCUCUUUCUCCUUGAAAACCCUAAAUUCCAUCCUCCUCUUCGUUCUUUCCUCGAUGACCCACUCCAUUCUUGUGGUCGAUAUCAUCACUGGCUAUUGACGCUUCGUUUGCCUCUCUCACCGAGUAGUUUGAUACCCCAGUUCCCGAAGAACAUCUCUCUGAACCCCGAUUUGAAAACUCUAACCAACCGAGGUAGGCGAAUUAUUCGUCUGGGAGAACGGUUCUGGCGUUGGCGGCGGUGAUGGUGAGUUUCAGCCAGGGAGAUGCUCGCGAUGAUGAUCCACUACGAUCUCUGUUGUGGGCUUAAUACGCUCAGGGAAGUGAACAGCUUUGGUAAUUCAUGUUCGGUUGAGAUCUCAACCAUAGCUGUCCUCGUGGAGUUUCUUCGUUGUUGGAACCAGAAAAACAGAGGUAUUCACAAACAGAACCUGAUCGAAAGGGCUGAAACCAGAUCAAGCUGAGGAUUCUCAUAGCUGUGUGCAUUGAGUUGGUUUAUCAGGUUGGAAUAUGUGGAGAGCAUGGUGGGAGCCAUCUUCUAUUGCAUUCUUUGCUCAAAUUGGUCUUGAUUAUGUCUCAUACUCUCCUUUUAGGUUAGAUUUGUAAGCUUACAUAUAAGUUAGAGUUUUAAAUGUUCAACUAUUAAACUCAAAUUUGAAGACUCUUGCAGGGUUCUAAUUGAAAGGCUUGCAUACACCUCAAGUUGUAGUUUAGGAAAUUUGUUAAUCUGGUGUAAGAGGGAUGAAUGACUAGCUUCCGGUUCUUUUACUGCUCUAUUGUUACAGCUCCUUUUAGUCCUUAAUUGCUUUGUUACAUUCUUGCUUUCAGUCAUUUCUGUUUUAUGUGAGCAUUUGUUGUGGAGCUUCUGUUCACUAUGUUUUUUGUAUUUUUUUAAGUGCUUUUAUUACUUUAUAGUUUUUGUUACAAAUUGAUGCUGAAAGCUUGCAAAGAAUUUGGCCUAAUUUUACUAUAUUCAAGUAUUGUUAGUUAAGUUGGAUCAGAUAAUUAGUGAUAUUCUGGAUUCUAUUUCUUCAAAUAAUAUUCUGGCUUUAUUUACAAAAUGCGAAUUUAAAUUUGGCUUUAUUAACAAACUUACGGUGGUUUCUUUUUAUUUGGUCAAUUUAGACUUCAACUCUAAAUCUAAUAACUUAUUCUUCAUUCAUAUGUGUCUAUAUUUUAGGUUGUUGUCUACGCUGCUAUGAGCUUCAAUUUAGAUCUUUCUUUGUGGUUUCUAAUUGAAAUGAUUGGUUGUUAUUCUUGGUCUAAUAUAAGAUAAGGUUAUCAACACUCAUAGGUAGGAAGCUUAUUGGGAGGCUCCUCAAAAUCUUUUCUUACCAUGAUAGGUAUAUCCAUGAUGAGGAAGGAAGUUGAGAACGAUGAGUCUGUAAAAAAAUCUUCAUCUCUUAGAAAAAUACCAGUGGUAUCUUUUGGCCGUGAUCUUCAACUUCCUGUACAUGUUAGUUGGAGAUGAUCUCUUGAUGACUAAUGCAAAACGCAUUGAGAGAGCAGUACUAGAGUAUGCAUGUAAUGCUCUUUUUCUUAAGAGCAAAGUCCAAAAACAGCCAAUUAGACAGAACCCAGAAGUUACUCUUUCCUGUGAUGUACGCUGUAAGAUUGUAGGAAGAAGUGAAGUACCCAAUGUCUAGAUAAGCAAUGAACAAACCACUGCGGCUGCAACGCUUUCCUUCAUUCAAACUUCAAUUUCAUGGCGUGAUGGAUGACGGUUUGCUUUUGAUGGUCCGCUCUGGUUUUGUAGUGGCGGCGGUGCCACUGCUAGUAGGCAGAAUGAUUCAGUUAGAGACGAGUUAAUAAAUGCAGCAGCAUAUGGGGAGCAAAUUGAUAGGAUUGCCAACUUAUUGAUUCUUAGCUCUUGGCUUGGGAGAAAAGGCUUUUUGGGCAAGUUUGCUGGGACUAAGAAAAGAAUGAGUGUCUUCAAAGGCAAUGGGAAAGAUGGAAAGUGAAAAGGUGUCAAAAGACCCUAAUAAACGAAAGAAGCAACUGAGUGGUUUCUUUGUUUAGUCCGAAAGGUGUGCUCUCAACAGAAAGUCUAUUCAUGCUGUGAGAGACAAGUUAAAUGAAUUAGAUCAUUCUAAAAAUUCAUGUGAUGAAGUUGAUGAAAGUUAGGAGGUGAGUAAUGUUAAAUUAUUUUUCUAAAAGGGUAUUAACUUUUAUUUUUGGAUUUGUUUGACUAUGGCUAUUUGUAAUUAUCUCUAUAAUUUGGUUUCAAUUUUCAUACAUUUUUUUAAAUUAGGAGUAUGUGAUUGGUCUUAAACAAUGCUCUGUUGAGAAAAGAGGAGCAUCUUUCCUUGGAAGAGGUUGAUAAGAUCCUUGAUGCUGGAAUUUGAUGAGUCUCAUGGCUCUGGAGAUGAGUCUGCGUGUUAAAUGAGAUGACUGCCCAUGCCAGUUAACUAGAGCUACUGAUUAGGACUAACAGGGCAUUAGAUAUUUUGGUUGUGUCCAUGUAAGCAUUUCAUAUUUUGGGUUGUGAUGUAGGAGAUGUGUGGAUUAAAAUGUUUUUAUCUUCUGUAUGGAAUGCUUUGUGCAUUUGUAUUGGGCUUAUUUCAAAUGUAAUUAAUAGUGUUAGGAUGUGGAGUGUGGACACAAUAUCAUUAACCGCUAGGCAAAUUAAUUGUGCAGUCCUUUAUGUUGUAGUUCAGUUAUUUCUUUGAAAUUCAAUAAAGUGAAGUACCUCCUUUAUGAUGUUAAAAUCUCA